CUCAGGUUCCAAACCUUAGUCGAUAUGCAACAGCGCAGAGCAUGCUGAUUCCGACAUCUUCAUUUAUGGAUUCCAGGAUGAAGAGGAGGAUGAAGAGGAAGGAAGGAAAGGCGUCUUCCCCGGGGCCCGAUGCGAGUAGCGGGAAGACGACAAGAGCCCAGCAGACGCCGAAGAACCGAGCAGACAAAGAAACCCCUCCCCCUGCUGCUCCCCCACCUUGCCCCUCAACUUGCCCACCUCCCGCCACCUCUUUGAAGGAGUCUCUGAACGCAACACGGCGUCAAGCAGUUGACAGCGACUGGAAGCUGGAGCCAACGACGCAAUGGCCAAGCAAUAACGUAAAAAAAAAAACUUCGGUAGUUUUGUUUUAACUAGCUCAAGGGAAAAUGCCGGAGCUAAUGGCGCUUGAAGAAGAGAUGCUCAAGCGUAGACACACAGCCAAGACAGACAACUGGGUCCCGCAUUCGCACGAAACAAAACAAAACAAAAAAAAUCCGGCAGAAACUAUUUCGGGCUGACCGUCGAGCACAGAAGCAAAGUCCCGCGGAAACACGCCACGUGUGAGGCGCGUGCUUGCAGCCGGGCUCCUCUCUCGCACUUCCCCCUGGACACGCUGCGCCAUCUGGUGGCGGCGCCGUGAAGUCCGUGCGUGGCACGAGCCUGAAUAUAUAUCCACACAAUACUUUCUGAAUAUAAAUCA